rnacentral:tRNA from 5 species
GGGCGAUUAGCUCAGUGGGAGAGCGCUACCUUGACACGGUAGAGGUCACAGGUUCAAUCCCUGUAUCGCCCACCA